GUGUUUUUGUGUAUAUAUAUAUGUGUGUGUGUGUGUGUGUGUGUGUGUGUGUCGUGGAGAAGUGAACUGUGCCUGUCCUUGUGGGUGUAUGACGAACCAGGCUGUUGCCAUGGUGAUGGUGGUGGUGGGCAUGAUACAGGUGCGGGAGCUGGAGUUUGUGCCCGAUGGAGACAUGCAGCUGGACAAAUUCUGUUGCUCAUUGGUCAGACUGGAGUUUACAUGUGUACCUCCUUCACCAUCAUUGGUGGACACUUCACCAUGAGUGUUAGUGAAAUGUGCUCUCUUUGUUAGUUUAUUUGUAUAUCAGAAAAAUUUAAUGGGCUUUAGUAGGUUUUGUCACCAGUCUUCUGUGUGUCACUGACUACAUUUUGAAAUUUUUAUCUGUUCUAUUUAAUUUUGUGUGUAUGUACACAAUGUUUAUGGUCAAUAAACUAUUUAUAAAACUAUUUAUCUGUGUGAGUAAGAUAAAAGCAGUUAUUAUUAUUAUUAUUAUUAUUAUUAUUAUUAUUAUUAUUAUUAUUAUUAUUAUUAUUAUUAUUAUUAUUAUUAUUACACAUUUUCCUCCUUGUAUUUAAAUAUUAUUAUUAUUAUUAUUAUUAUUAUUAUUAUUAUCAUGAAUUGUUCUUGUUUAUAAAUAAAAUACUGUAACUGA